CACGUAGGGUGCGAGCGUUGUCCGGAAUUAUUGGGCGUAAAGAGCUCGUAGGCGGUGUGUCGCGUCGGCCGUGAAAACUGUGGCUUAACUAUGGGCUUGCGGUCGAUACGGGCAUCACUGGAGUUCGGCAGGGGGAGACUGGAAUUCCUGGUGUAGCGGUGAAAUGCGCAGAUAUCAGGAGGAACACCGGUGGCGAAGGCGGGUCUCUGGGCCGAUACUGACGCUGGAG
rnacentral:rRNA from 1 species